UGUAGGUGUUGCAGUUGUUGGUGCGGCAGUUGUAGGUGCAGCAGUUGUAGGUGCGGCUGUUGUUGGUGCUGCUGUUGUAGGUACAGCAGUUGUUGGUGCGCCAGUUGUA